rnacentral:rRNA from 1 species
GGGCUCACACAAGCGGUGGAGCAUGUGGCUUAAUUCGAGGCUACGCGAAGAACCUUAUCCUGGGCUUGACAUGUGCGAAAGCGGUAGGAAGUAGGCUGCGGAAACGUAAGCCCAACGGUAUCCAGUCCGGAACCUACUACAGGUGCUGCAUGGCUGUCGUCAGCUCGUGUCGUGAGAUGUCGGGUUAAGUCCCAUAACGAGCGAAACCCUUGUUUCCAGUUGCCAGCGGGUCAUGCCGGGGACUCUGGAAAGACUGCCGGUGUUAAACCGGAGGAAGGCGGGGAUGACGUCAAGUCCUCAUGGCCUUUAUGCCCAGGGCUGCACACGUGCUACAAUGCCGUGAACAAAGGGAAGCCAACCCGCGAGGGGGAGCCAAUCCCAAAAAACACGGCCCAGUUCAGAUUGCAGGCUGCAACUCGCCUGCAUGAAGUUGGAAUCGCUAGUAAUCGCGGGUCAGCAACACCGCGGUGAAUGUGUUCCUGAGCCUU